CUCAGAUGUUUGUCUUCUGAAAUUGGCAAAUAGAUGAGGGAAACUGAGAAAUGGACAGGAAUGGUGGAAAUGAAAAUUUUUUUCCCACAUGUCCUGAUACUGGUGGACCUGCUGGUGAUGACGGAUGGCAGUCUGCACCUAUGAUCUAGCUGUAUGAAGCAGACGGGUCAACGCUUUACCAGUGUCUAACCUGAGAUCCUUCCUGCUUAGCAUGGGAUGAGGAACUGUUUAAAAACCUGUAUCCACAAUCGGUUUGUGUGUGUCUGCAAAUUAAGGCUAAAUCUUCCAGAAAUUACUCCCACUUGAAGCCUAACCAGGUCAAGAUUGAUUGCCGAACCAAGCAUGUCAACCGACUGAACACGAUGCUUCAGAACAGACCCCUGGCUGCUUAACCUUGUCAUCUCUGUAGCUCAUACUCUUCCCUCUGUCAGGCCCUCCCUAAACUGAUAAAUGUCACAGAGAAAAUGAAACUGAUCACGCUCCCCUCUGGCAAAUGAAGCCAGAUACAGCUGCAUUUCAGUCUAGGAUCGAUACUGUCACUGGAACCUGGGUGGGUUUUGUUCCACCCUUCUGAGCACGUUGUGAGCACUCAUGGCAUUGUUCUGUCCUUUUCACUAAGACCAACAGCGUGGUUUUCCAAGCGGAUAAUAGGAUGUCCAAUUUGGAAAGGGAAAGUGGGAGUGAAAGGGAGACAAUUACUAUCAUGCAUAUUCUGGGGCUGUCACUGUGUAUGAUUCUAUUUUCCUAAGCACACAAUGCUUCUUGAAUUAAUGAUGGGUCUAUAUCCUGAUAGUCUCAUUGUAAAUUGGAAAAAUCAGCAAGCCCUAAAAUGCAUUUCAUGCUCUAAACUCAUAGACCUUCUUAGUUAAUCCACACAGCACAUCACAGAGCACUAUCUCUUUACCUCUCACAGUUUUACUGGUAGCCGCAGCUGAAGCCUGCCACUACCUAGCACUGGAAACAAUGGUCAACUGCAUGUCACUGUGGGUCCAGAAAAAAGUCACAAUGAAAAAACCUGAAGAAUGAUUUCUAAUGCUUUUGUUGCAUCAUAAAAUCCCCAAAUCAAAAGCCCAGAAUUCCCAUAUCUAACCAUUUUGUUCUGGGCAUCCUCUGUUCCUAUGGAGAGGAGGAGUCUCCCCCCUCACACCCCCAUCCCCAGGGCUACAAAUGUUAAAGUAUUUAACAGGUGGAGAACUCUGUGAAAGGGAGUAGCAAUCAAAGCCGGAAGGAUUGUUCUUACUAAGAGACUUUUGUUCCUAAUAAUAAAAAAAAAGUUCAAAAUAAAAUAAUAAAGCAAAACUUACAAAUCCAGAAUAUAUUUUUCUGGUUAAAGAGAUCGAUGUGGGCUGGUGUUCAGUCAAAAAAAUGUUUGCUACAUUAGCAUAAGGAUCUGAGUCUGAUCCCCAGAACCCACAUUAAGGAAAAGCCAGGCCUGGUGGUACACGUAUAUAAUUUCUGUGCUGGAAAGACUUAGUCAGCUCUCCCCAGGGCUCUCUAGCCAUCCAGCCUUGCCUUCUUCAUGACUCCAUUCCAGUGAGAGAAAUCUGUCUCCAAAACUAAGAUGGAUGGUGCCCGAGGGACAACACUCCAGGCUGUCCUCUAGCGGCCACAUGCAUGAAUAAACAUGGGCACCUGCAAACACGUGAGUGUGUACACACAAAGUAAGAUUAUUUUUAAAAAGUUCCCAAAAUUCAGAACAGGAGGCUGUAUAUUAGGGUCUUCACGUUCAUUCAAGCAGGAGGGCGGGGAAGGAAGCACCCCAAGAACAGUAUGGAAAGCCACGCCAGGAUACAAGGCCAGGCUACAAACAGUGAGAAAGGGAGGAAGUACAUCUUCAAAGCCCAGGGCUGCUUGCAAUUCUGCAGUAACAGGGUGUGAAUAUAAAUGGAUAUCCCCUUGGAAGAGGGACAUAAAUAUUGACUGUAGUUGGGUCCUGUCUUAAGAACAAGUAAUCUUACCAGGGCACACAAUGAGUCUUGGAGCACAAGGCAGCCUCAGAAAAUCCCCACAAGCUUUUGUGAACUGAAAUCUUCCUCUAAAACUACACCCAUGCUGAAGAUUCUACAAUGCUGAUUGGUUAGAACAGUGGUUCUCAACCUUCCUAAUGCUGUGACCCUUUAAUACAGUUCUUCAUGCUGUGGUGACCCCCAACCACAAAAUUAUUUUAUUGCUACUUCAUAAUUGUAAUUUUGGUACUGCUAUGAAUCAUAAUGUAAAUAUCUGAUAUGCAGGAUAUUUGAUAUGUGACACCCCUCCCCCGAAGGGGUUACGACCCACAGGUUGAGAACCGCUGGAUUAGCACUUCAUGGUUGAAAUGUUACAGAUCAGGAGAUGAAUUAUUUUGGGCUACCUUUAGUUUCCUAAAUACCCAUAUUGCUCACAUCUAUGUCUGACCUGACCCCUGUUCAGCUAUCACAUUAAAACCUUUGGCAAAUACCAGCCCAAAGUUAAAAACACCAUCAGCAUCUGAACAAGGAAAUUUCUUCACUUAGUUGGAAUCCACCUACCUAUUGUCGCUGGCAAUGCAUUUGAUAAGCGCUUUCAUUUAGACUGUCAUUGUUUCUUUCUGUGACUACAAAAGUGACAGCAAUCACUUCCAUAGCAGACAACAGAGGUCACUCCGAAUCUGUUCCCAGGCUGUGGUCACCAAGACCUGGCUCAGAAGAAGAUCGAUCCCUCCU